rnacentral:misc_RNA from 1 species
UACGUAGGGGGCAAGCGUUAAUCGGAAUUACUGGGCGUAAAGCGCGCGUAGGCGGUUUGAUAAGUGUGAUGUGAAAGCCCAGGGCUUAACCUUGGAAUUGCAUAAAAUACUGUCAGGCUAGAGUACGAGAGAGGGGGGUAGAAUUCCUAGUGUAGCGGUGAAAUGCGUAGAUAUUAGGAGGAAUACCAGUGGCGAAGGCGGCCCCCUGGCUCGACACUGACGCUGAGGCGCGAAAGCGUGGGGAGCAAACAGG